CGUACUGGAGCUACGCAGCGAUAAACGUGCGUACUUGGGCCGAUAGUGACAGCGGAGGGGACAGCCGCGGACACAGCCUUCCCCUGGCGUGGUGGAGGGCAAGACGACACACCUUCGGCUCAGGCAGGGAGACAGUCCCCGGGAUAAACACGAGACUAAGGAGGAAGAUGGCAAGACGUUUGGCGAUGGCAGUUUUUGGGGCACUUCCUCCCACGUCUGUUCCGAGGAGCAUUUGGCUGAGAAUUGGGUCAGGAGUGCGUCAUUCACAGAUGGUAGAGUGGAUAAACUCGCUCAGCGUUUUUUACCUGAGGACUGGAGUCUUGUGCUGGAAGAUACAGCCAUCCCGAUGAGAGCGGACAUCGGAAGUGUUGUUGCUGUAUCAUUGUGGCUGUUGUUGGUGGAACUUGCAUACAUGAGUAUGCGUAUCGAUACGCUUGGAAACGAAGUUUCGAUAGUGUUUUAAAUCAUCAAAAUAUGUCAAGAUACUGCAAAUAUUACAUGUUAUCAGUGUUCGUGUUAAUGCAUGGUCACAGCAUGUAUAUCAAACGAUUAAAUCAUAGUUGAAAUAGGUAUGUUCCAAUGGCGUGCAUUGUUAGCAUGCUCAUAUUAACUUGUUUUCUCGUGUUAUAAUGCACAGAAAUAUGUGUUCACAGAAUGAUUGUAAAUGAUGGGCAAUUUUUUUUGCAGUUCCGUUUAAUAUCACGGUUGAGUUCAUACACAGGUUCCCUACAGCCGCGUAAAUCUAAUGUUUUUGACUCUGCUAAUUAGAAACCACAAAGGCCAUUUGCUUUAUAGUGGUGGUUAGUUAAAUAGAGGUGUUAAUCGGAGCAUUUAUAGUACGUUAGAUAAGUGAACGAACAUGAGUCAUCUGCUGGAUUUUGUGAACUCUGACUCAGUUGACCGUAAUAACGCUGAGUCGCUGCUGGUCACCGCUAACAUUGUAACUCCCAAACAAAUCGAUUCAUAACAACGUACAAAUCAAAUUACAACUAUAAGCGUCAACAUUGUGCAACGACCGCUCGUCGAUAUUCGGCACAAACAAUUUUGAUGUAGAACGCGUUAGCCUGAUGAAUUUGUUUCUCUCGCACCUGAUAAAUUAGGAGCUCUAAUCUAUAAGAGGAUUAACCACCUACUCUUGUUUAUAUGUGCACACACAUAACUGGGCAUUCAGGGUUUACGUGACAUAACGGUUUGGGCUAUAAAAAGUUGGUAUGUGCCUAGUCCAGGAUGCCAUGGGGAGCAACGAGAAGUCGCGUUGCGGACUUAAAUGAAAAGCCAUGGUGACAGUUCUUUUAGAAGCCGACAGCGAAUCACAAGGCAGUGGGGAUUAAUAUGUGGCAGUCAAAUUGUCAUGGAAAGACACACUGAGGUUUUUGGAUUAGGGGACAAUUAUUAAUAUUUACUUUAUAAUUUUCUCAACAAAAACAGAAAUGCAGCACUUUGGUUUAUGCUUCUAUUUUUUUGUCCUGAACUGACAGACGUAAAACUCUUUCUAUGGACACAAAAGGUCGAUGUCAUCGUUCACAAAUCUGUCUGAAGGGCUGUUCAUGAACACUUUUCCAUUGUCGAGAUAAUCCAUCCACCUCACAAGUGUGACAUAUUAAGAUGUGUCGGAUUAUUAUUGCACUUGUGCCUUAGGUUGGCCACAACAAAAGGCUGCUAUGUGUAUAUUUUUUAAUGAACCACUCCUGACCGCAUCAGUGAUUAUAUCGUUGGGAUUGUUGUUGACCUGCUAUGGUGUCCAUGUUGACAUUAAAAACUUUUCAGGAUUCAUUCAUUCAUUUUCUACUGCUUAUCCUCACGAGGGUCGCAGGGGGUGCUGGAGCCUAUCCCAACUGUCUUCGGGCGCCUGCCAAUCACAGGGCACAUAUAGACAAACAACCAUUCACACUCACAUUCAUACCUAUGGACAAUUUGGAGUUGCCAAUUAACCUAGCAUGUUUUUGGAAUGUGGGAGGAAACCGGAGUACCCGGAGAAAACCCACGCAUGCACGGGGAGAACAUGCAAACUCCACACAGAGAUGGCCGAAGGUGGGAUUGAACUCGGGUCUCCCAGCUGUGAGGUCUCCGCGCUAAACACUUCUCCACAGAGCAGCCUACUUUUCAGGAUUUUAUAUCAAAUGUGUUUUUAUCAAGUAGCUAUCGUACAUUGGAGCUAAAUGUUUAAUCAGUAAAAUGUUUAAAAACAGUAAAAUGUGUCACAAUAUGUUUUCAAUGUAAUAUGAUGCAGAUGUCAAAAUGUAAUAGUAUUUUUUUUGCGUGUUGCAGAUGGCAGCCUCGAGCCCGGGGACCAUCACAGCCAGAGGUGGCGUCCUCCCCAGGGAACCGGUUUCAGAUGGUGUCUUAGAGUAUCAAAUCAAAUCUAGCACCAUUUGAAAUCGGUGUUCUUGAGCGGGAACGGACUUCAGGAGGGCCACCAUGUCUCGCCAUGAGAACCAAUACAAAGCUUUAUCACACAUUUUGUCUUUCAGCAUGAUGCGUGUUCAUCAUUGCAGACUACAACCCCUCCGCCCGCCCGCCCUCACCAAGGCUGACCGUUUUCUUUUGGUGUUCAGAGUUUCCAUCAUGUCUAGCACCAUUUGAAAUCGGUUACAAUGUAGAGGGAAACUCGACACAGCCUCAUUGUGUGUUUCCUUACGUGGCCAGCAGACGGCAGCAUUGUGACAUCAAUCAGGGUAAGUAUUGACUUGUUUCUAAUAAAUAUAUGAAAUAUAUCUAUUUUUGUACCAACCAAUUGUGUCAUGUUUUUACAUUAUUGAUCAUUUAUAUGUGUAACAAUAUUAUUAUACGUUAUUAAAUCACUAAAUUUAAUAUGAUUUAACUUCUUUUGUCAACUAUGUUGUUUUUAAGGGUGGUCUAACAUAAUUUAUAAGUUCAGAUAUUAUGAGUCCUUCUGGGGGAACUAAAUCAACACUCCAUUUCUAAUUAAAUGCAUGAAUUGUUGUGCCACAAUAACACAUUUUUUUAUGCUGUUUGGUAUAUGUGACUAUACUGUAGGUUGUUGCAAAGAAGAGAUUAUAUUCUUUGUUUUUGGUGUUGCCAAGUUACACUUAAUUGUGCUGUUUUAUGGAUGACGACAUACUGACUGUAGCAGUACAAAAAUAUAUUGCAUUAAAAUAUUGAAAUGAAAUAUACUUGAAAAGAUGGAUGAUUAGCCCACCCUGUUUUGAUUUGAUAUUUUCCACCAUAACUUUCAAAUGUUGCAACUUUGUCCUCAAGUUAAAUACUUAAUAUUUAGACCAUUUCACUUAGGACAUAUAUUGUACACAAUACUUUUCUUCGGACUUAUUUCAUCACAUGUUCCCAGGAAGAGUUUUAUGUUGAAACAGCUGUGGGAAAUAAUAGUAAAUAAGGAAUAAGAAGAUGCAGUUAAGCACUCUUGCAUUCACUCUUGUGAAUCAGCCUUCCACCGAAUACUCCCACGCAAUUUCAGUCCUGAAACAGCACUCUAACUUUAGCCUCAUAACUAAUUCACUUCUUUACUAACUUUCUCAAAGUCGUUCCAGUGAUCUGGGUGUCAAAUAGAGGUGGGUGUAUUUGACAUAUUAUGUGAUACAGGUGACAAAUCCUUCUGUAGUGGUUAAAAUGUGCUCUAACUGUUACUUAGUAUCUUACAUGUAAUAUAAACAGAACAGUAAUUUAAACAUUUAAUAACUAAGUAGGGAUAGCCUCGUAUUCAUUCAAGGCCUUAUUCCUGGCAAAGAUCGGCUCUUAGAUCCAUCCUCGAAGCCCCCAGAUGUGCCUCACUUUAGACGCCAUGUGAGUCACAGGGAGUGUCUGCAUCAAGCCUGACGUGCAGUCAACCCUCCACUGGUUUUUCUGUUAAAAACACACCGUCACAUUUUCCCCUUUUGGCCCUCGGGAUGAAAUGACUAUAAGUCGGCACUUUUUUUCAUAGGUUGGCUGUUCCUGCGACUUAUACUCCAGAGCGAUUUAUAAAUGAAAAAACUGUUUAUGUUACAUAGACACUAGAUACCUUUUCUAUAGCUGAAUAACCAUUGUGUUAGCAUAUCUUACAUCUAUUCAGCCUGUUUUCUAUUCUUUUAUUGUUAGAACUUGCCUUCCAAGAGGACUAUUUAUUCUAAUUUCAUCACUUUUUAAUAAGUUACUUUUGUAUUUCUUUCUCACAGUGCAACAUAGGUUUUAGCUUUGGCCUUUUAGCUAUCUGAGUUAUAUUUUUGCUGUGCUUAUUAAUAGCUGCCUCAUCAUCUAUUCCAUAGUUUGGCUUGCAUCAAAAGUUGCAUUGCAUCUGCAUCACUUGUGACAUCAACUCCUUCAAGUCAUUCAUUCAUUUUCUACUGUUUAUCCUCACAAGGGUCGUAGGGGGUGCUGGAGCCUAUCCCAGCUGUCUUCAGGCAAGAGGCGGGGUACACCCUGGACUGGUGGCCAGCCAAUCACAGGGCACAUAUAGACAAACA